GACGAACGCUGGCGGCGUGCCUAAUACAUGCAAGUCGAGCGAUGAAGCUUGGUGCUUGCCCCAAUUUGAAGAGCAGCGAACGGGUGAGUAACGCGUGGGUAAUCUGCCUUUAAGCGGGGGACAACAUUUGGAAACGAAUGCUAAUACCGCAUAACAUCUUUAAACAUAAGUUUUAAGUUUGAAAGAUGCAAUUGCAUCACUCAAAGAUGAUCCCGCGUUGUAUUAGCUAGUUGGUGAGGUAAAGGCUCACCAAGGCGAUGAUACAUAGCCGACCUGAGAGGGUGGACGGCCAAAAUGGGACCGGGAAACGGCCCAAAAUCCUUAGGGAGGCAGCAGUAGGGGAUCUUCGGGAAAGGGCGGAAGGCUGGACGAGGAACGCCGCGUGGGUGGAGAAGGGUUUCGGGUCGGAAAACUCUGUUGGUAGGGAAGAACGUUGGUGGGAGUGGAAAGCUCAUCAAGUGACGGUAACUAACCAGAAAGGGACGGCUAACUACGUG
rnacentral:rRNA from 1 species